rnacentral:rRNA from 1 species
GAUGAACGCUAGCGGCAGGCCUAAUACAUGCAAGCCGGACGGUAACUUUUGUAGCAAUACGGAAGCUAGAGUGGCGUACGGGUGCGUAACACGUAUGCAACCUACCCUUUACAGGGAGAUAGCUCGGGGAAACCCGGAUUAAUACCCCCAUAAUAUUAUUUUGAGGCAUCUUGAGAUAAUUAAAGAUUUAUCGGUAAAGGAUGGGCAUGCGUCUGAUUAGCUAGUUGGUGAGGUAACGGCUCACCAAGGCGAUGAUCAGUAGGGGAACUGAGAGGUUGAUCCCCACCACUGGCACUGAGAUACGGGCCAGACUCCUACGGGAGGCAGCAGUAGGGAAUAUUGGUCAAUGGGUGGAAGCCUGAACCAGCCAUGCCGCGUGCAGGAAGACGGCCUUCUGGGUUGUAAACUGCUUUUAUCUGGGAUAAAAUACCCUUGCGAGGGAGACUGAAGGUACCAGAUGAAUAAGCCACGGCUAACUACGUGCCAGCAGCCGCGGUAAUACGUAGGUGGCAAGCGUUGUCCGGAUUCAUUGGGUUUAAAGGGUGCGUAGGCGGCCAUUUAAGUCAGUGCUGAAAUAUCACAGCUUAACUGUGAGGGUGGCAUUGAUACUGGGUGGCUUGAGUGCUAGCGAGGCAGGCGGAAUUGACGGUGUAGCGGUGAAAUGCUUAGAUAUCGUCAAGAACACCGAUAGUGUAGACAGCUUGCCAGGGAGCAACUGACGCUGAGGCACGAAAAGUGUGGGGGAUCAAA